rnacentral:rRNA from 1 species
GAUCAUGGCUCAGGACGAACGCUGGCGGCGUGCUUCAUACAUGCAAGUCGAACGAGAAUCUCUAGCUUGCUAGAGAGGAAAGUGGCGGACGGGUGAGUAAUGUGUAGAGAAUCUGCCCUUGAGCGGGGGACAACAGCUGGAAACGGUUGCUAAUACCCCAUAUGGGGUAAGUUGAAAUACUUAUCUUGAAAACUCCGGUGCUCAAGGAUGAGUCUGCAUCUGAUUAG